UUUAAAAGUCUUAUAACUUUUUAUUUUUGUCCUCACUGGCCUCCAAGUUUUCUAGGAUGAUGCAAUGUCCAGCCAUCAACACAUUUGUGAAGGAAUUUUUACUCCCUAAAAGAGCGCCCCCCCAUGGCAGGAGAAAAAAAGUCCAUUUUUUCUUGUCCCCUAAGGUGAAAAUACACAUUGUUGAGUGUAACACCUGUACGCUUUGGCAAAAUGACACAAAAAUUGACACACACAUGUAUCUCAAUAAGAUCUACGAAAAAGUCAAUGCGCGCGUAUCUGUCAAAUGUACGGUUAAAGGGUUAUUCCGCAUUUUUUGCCGAUCCGCACACAUUGGAAUUUCGCUAACUCCUCCGAAGGCUUUCGUUCCACCGGCACCACAUUUGCUCAGGCCAAUCUACACCCCAUGGCCAUUAAAAGUUAUUCAAAUCAUGACGCUGCAUCCCACGGUUUAGGUUCUAGGGGGCGCCAAAGAUAACCCUAAAAUCCACAUAUUUCAAAGUCUUAUAACUUUUUAUUUUUGUCCUCACUGGCCUCCAAGUUUUCUAGGAUGAUGCACUGUCCAGCCAUCAACACAUUUGUGAAGGAAUUUUUACUCCCCAAAAGAGCGCCCCCCAUGGCAGGAGAAAAAAGUCAAUUUUUUCUUGUCCCCUAAGGUGGAAAUUCACAGUAUUGACUGUCACGCCUGUACGCUUUAUCAUAUUGACACAAAAAUUGACACACAUAUGUAUCUCAAUAAGAUCUACAAAAAAGUCAAUUCGCGCGUAUCUGUCAAAUGUACGGUUAAAGGGCUAUUUUGCAUUUUUUGCCGAUUCGCACACAUUGGAAUGUGGCUAACUCCUCCUAAGGCUUUCGUCCCACUGACACCAAAUUUGCUCAGGCCAAUCUACACCCCAUGGCCAUUCAAAGUUGUAAAAAUCAUGACGCUGCACCCCACGGUUUACGUUCUAGGGGGCGCCAAAGAUGACCCAAAAAUCCACAUUCUUAAAAGAAUCCACAUCCCCCCCCCAUGGCAGGAGAAAAAGUCAAGUUUUUCCUGCCCAUCGCUCAAUGGCUCAAUCGCAUCGCUCUCCAGGCAACACCGUAAGGAGGAGCAACCUCGCAUUUCGAUAUAUCAUAGCUGUGUUUGUGCCCUCACUCAUGGUCCAGACUUUUUUCAAAUAGGACAUGAAGUUUGUCUGCAGCGAGUGUUUUGGUAGAAACUGCGCCUCCCAUUCAUUAUAAUGGGAAAUGACCACAGACAAGUGCGCACACCAUCUUUGGUUCUUGAGUGUGACUCGAUCGGGACGGGGAGGCGGUCGCACUGGGGGCGGCGCGACGCGGCUCGGGCCCGACAGUGCCCCACCGGGGCCCUAGUUCUUUCUUUCUUUAGGGCCCGAGCGUAGCUGCUAAGCAGCUGCGAGAGCCCUCUUGUUCCUGCAUGUUUCCUUCUUUUGUUAUUAUUAUUAUUUUUCCUCCCCUUUGAACUGGAAAAUGGCCCACUUCCCACUGGCGAAAACUCAUGAAAUUUGGCAGGACGACCGGGCCUGGUGAAAAAUUUGAUAUUCUGAAGUCGCCCAAACAAGAAAAUGCAAAAUGGCUCCAUAGCGCCCCCUAAGGUGAAAAUUCACACUAUUGACUGUCACGCCUUUACGCUUUGUCAAAAUGACACAAAAUUUGACACACAUAUGUAUCUCAAUAAGAUCUACAAAAAAGUCAGUGCGGCCGUAUCUGUCAAAUGUACGGUUAAAGGGUUAUUCCGCAUUUUUUGCCGAUCCGUACACAUUGGAAUUUCGCUAACUCCUCCGAAGGCUUUCUUUCCACCGGCACCACAUUUGCUCAGGCCAAUCUACACCCCAUGGCCAUUAAAAGUUAUUCAAAUCAUGACGCUGCACCCCACGGUUUAGGUUCUAGGGGGCGCCAAAGAUAACCCUAAAAUCCACAUAUUUAAAAGUCUUAUAACUUUUUAUUUUUGCCCUCACUGGCCUCCAAGUUUUCUAGGAUGAUGCAAUGUCCAGCCAUCAACACAUUUGUGAAGGAAUUUUUACUCCCCAAAAGAGCGCCCCCCCAUGGCCGGAGAAAAAAGUCCAUUUUUUCUUGUCCCCUAAGGUGAAAAUACACAUUGUUGAGUGUCACGCCUGUACGCUUUGUCAUAUUGACACAAAAUUUGACACACACAUGUAUCUCAAUAAGAUCUACGAAAAAGUCAAUGCGCGCGUAUCUGUCAAAUGUACAGUUAAAGGGUUAUUCCGCAUUUUUUGCUGAUCCGCACACAUUGGAAUUUCGCUAACUCCUCCUAAGGCUGGCGUUCCACCGGCACCACAUUUGCUCAGGCCAAUCUACACCCCAUGGCCAUUAAAAGUUAUUCAAAUCAUGACGCUGCACCCCACGGUUUAGGUUCUAGGGGGCGCCAAAGAUAACCCUAAAAUCCACAUAUUUCAAAGUCUUAUAACUUUUUAUUUUUGUCCUCACUGGCCUCCAAGUUUUCUAGGAUGAUGCAAUGUCCAGCCAUCAACACAUUUGUGAGGGAAUUUUUACUCCCCAAAAGAGCGCCCCCCCCAUGGCAGGAGAAAAAGUCAAGUUUUUCCUGCCCAUCGCUUAAUGGCUCAAACGCAUCGCUCUCUCGGCAAAACGGAAAGGAGGAGCAACUUGCCAUUUGGAUAUAUACUAGCUGUGUUUGUGCCCUCACUCAUGGUCCAGACUUUUUUCAAAAAGGACAUGGAGUUUGUCUGCAGCGAGCGUUUUGGUAGAAACUGCGCCUCCCAUUCAUUAUAAUGGUAAAUGACCACAGACAAGUGCGCACACCAUCUUUGGACCUUGAGUGUGACGCGAUCGGGAGGGGUAGGCGGUCGCGCUGGGGGCGGCGCGACACGGCUCGGGCCCGCCAGUGCCCCAACGGGGCCCUAGUUCUUCUUUUUCCUCCCCUUUGAACUGGAAAAUGGCCCACUUCCCACUGGUGAAAACUCAUGAAAUUUGGCAGGACGACCGGGCCUGGUGAAAAAUUCGAUAUUCUGAAGUCGCCCAAACAAUAAAAUGCAAAAUGGCUCCAUAGCGCCCCCUAAGGUGGAAAUUCACACUAUUGACUGUCACGCCUGUACGCUUUGUCAUAUUGACACAAAAAUUGACACACAUAUGUAUCUCAAUAAGAUCUACAAAAAUGUCAGUGCGGCCGUAUCUGUCAAAAUUACGGUUAAAGGGUUAUUUCGCAUUUUUUGCCGAUCCGCACACAUUGGAAUUUCGCUAACUCCUCCGAAGGCUUUCGUUCCACCGGCACCACAUUUGCUCAGGCCAAUCUACACCCCGUGGCCAUUAAAAGUUAUCAAAAUCAUGACGCUGCACCCCAAGGUUUAGGUUCUAGGGGGCGCCAAAGAUAACACUAAAAUCCACAUAUUUAAAAGUCUUAUAACUUUUUAUUUUUGUCUUCACUGGCCUCCAAGUUUUCUAAGAUGAUGCAAUGUCCAGCCAUCAACACAUUUGUGAAGGAAUUUUUACUCCCCAAAAGAGCGCCCCCCCAUGGCAGGAGAAAAAAGUCCAUUUUUUCUUGUCCCCUAAGGUGAAAAUACACAUUGUUGAGUGUCACGCCUAUACGCUUUGUCAAAAUGACACAAAAAUUGACACACACAUGUAACUCAAUAAGAUCUACAAAAAAGUCCAUGCGCGCGUAUCUGUCAAAUGUACAGUUAAAGGGUUAUUCCGCAUUUUUUGCCGAUCCGCACACAUUGGAAUUUCGCUAACUCCUCCGAAGGCUUUCGUUCCACCGGCACCACAUUUGCUCAGGCCAAUCUACACCCCAUGGCCAUUAAAAGUUAUUCAAAUCAUGACGCUGCACCCCAAGGUUUAGGUUCUAGGGGGCGCCAAAAAUAACCCUAAGAUCCACAUAUUUAAAAGUCUUAUAACUUUUUAUUUUUGCCCUCACUGGCCUCCAAGUUUUCUAGGAUGAUGCAAUGUCCAGCCAUCAACACAUUUGUGAAGGAAUUUUUACUCCCCAAAAGAGCGCCCCCCCAUGGCAGGAGAAAAAAGUCCAUUUUUUCUUGUCCCCUAAGGUGAAAAUACACAUUGUUGAGUGUAACACCUGUACGCUUUGGCAAAAUGACACAAAAUUUGACACACACAUGUAUCUCAAUAAGAUCUACGAAAAAGUCAAUGCGCGCGUAUCUGUCAAAUGUACGGUUAAAGGGUUAUUCCGCAUUUUUUGCCGAUCCGCACACAUUGGAAUUUCGCUAACUCCUCCUAAGGCUUUCGUUCCACCGGCACCACAUUUGCUCAGGCCAAUCUAGACCCCAUGGCCAUUAAAAGUUAUUCAAAUCAUGACGCUGCAUCCCACGGUUUAGGUUCUAGGGGGCGCCAAAGAUAACCCUAAAAUCCACAUAUUUCAAAGUCUUAUAACUUUUUAUUUUUGUCCUCACUGGCCUCCAAGUUUUCUAGGAUGAUGCAAUGUCCAGCCAUCAACACAUUUGUGAAGGAAUUUUUACUCCCCAAAAGAGCGCCCCCCCCAUGGCAGGAGAAAAAAGUCCAUUUUUUCUUGUCCCCUAAGGUGGAAAUUCACACUAUUGACUGUCACGCCUGUACGCUUUAUCAUAUUGACACAAAAAUUGACACACAUAUGUAUCUCAAUAAGAUCUACAAAAAAGUCAAUUCGUGCGUAUCUGUCAAAUGUACGGUUAAAGGGCUAUUUUGCAUUUUUUGCCGAUUCGCACACAUUGGAAUGUGGCUAACUCCUCCUAAGGCUUUCGUCCCACUGACACCAAAUUUGCUCAGGCCAAUCUACACCCCAUGGCCAUUCAAAGUUGUAAAAAUCAUGACGCUGCACCCCACGGUUUACGUUCUAGGGGGCGCCAAAGAUGACCCAAAAAUCCACAUUCUUAAAAGAAUCCACAUCCCCCCCCCUAUGGCAGGAGAAAAAGUCAAGUUUUUCCUGCCCAUCGCUCAAUGGCUCAAUCGCAUCGCUCUCCAGGCAACACCGUAAGGAGGAGCAACCUGGCAUUUCGAUAUAUCAUAGCUGUGUUUGUGCCCUCACUCAUGGUCCAGACUUUUUUCAAAUAGGACAUGAAGUUUGUCUGCAGCGAGUGUUUUGGUAGAAACUGCGCCUCCCAUUCAUUAUAAUGGGAAAUGACCACAGACAAGUGCGCACACCAUCUUUGGUUCUUGAGUGUGACUCGAUCGGGACGGGGAGGCGGUCGCACUGGGGGCGGCGCGACGCGGCUCGGGCCCGACAGUGCCCCACCGGGGCCCUAGUUAGGGCCCGAGCGUAGCUGCUAAGCAGCUGCGAGAGCCCUAUUAUUCCUGAUGGAUUCUUCUUAGGGCCCGAGCGUAGCUGCUAAGCAGCUGCGAGAGCCCUAUUAUUCCUGAUGGAUUCUUCUUUUGUUAUUAUUAUUAUUUUUCCUCCGCUUUAAACUGGAAAAUGGCCCACUUCCCACUGGCGAAAACUCAUGAAAUUUGGCAGGACGACCAGGCCUGGUGAAAAAUUCGAUAUUCUGAAGUCGCCCAAACAAUAAAAUGCAAAAUGGCUCCAUAGCGCCCCCUAAGGUGAAAAUUCACACUAUUGACUGUCACGCCUGUACGCUUUGUCAAAAUGACACAAAAAUUGACACACACAUGUAUCUCAAUAAGAUCUACAAAAAAGUCAGUGCGGGCAUAUCUGUUAAAUGUACGGUUAAAGGGUUAUUUCGCAUUUUUUGCCGAUCCGCACACAUUGAAAUUUCGCUAACUCCUCCGAAGGCUUUCGUUCCACCGGCACCACAUUUGCUCAGGCCAAUCUACACCCCAUGGCCAUCGAAAGUUGUACAAAUCAUGACGCUGCACCCCACGGUUUAGGUUCUAGGGGGCGCCAAAGAUAACCAAAAAAUCCACAUUCUUAAAAGUCUUAUAACUUUUUAUUUUUUUCCUCACUGGCCUCCAAGUUCUCUAGGAUGAUGCAAUGUCCAGCCAUCAACACAUUUGUGAAGGAAUUUUUACUCCCCAAAAGAGCGCCCCCACGUGGCAGGAGAAAAAAGUCCAUUUUUUCUUGUCCCCUAAGGUGAAAAUACACAUUGUUGACUGUCACGCCUGUACGCUUUGUCAUAUUGACACAAAAAUUGACACACACAUGUAUCUCAAUAAGAUCUACGAAAAAGUCAAUGGGCACGUAUCUGUAAAAUGUACGGUUAAAGGGCUAUUUUGCAUUUUUUGCUGAUUCGCACACAUUGGAAUGUGGCUAACUCGUCCUACAGCUUUCGUCCCACUGACACCAAAUUUGCUCAGGCUAAUCUACACCCCAUGGCCAUUCAAAGUUGUAAAAAUCAUGACGCUGCACCCCACGGUUUACGUUCUAGGGGGCGCCAAAGAUGACCCAAAUAUCCAUAUUCUUAAAAGUGUUAUAACUUUUUAUUUUUGUCCUCACUGGCCUCCAAGUUUUCUAGGAUGAUGCAAUGUCCAGCCAUCAACACAUUUGUAAAGGAAUUUUUACUCCCGAAAAAGAGCGCCCCCCCCCAUGGCAGGAGAAAAAAGUCAAUUUUUUCUUGUCCCCUAAGGUGAAAAAACACAUUGUUGACUGUCACGCCUAUACGCUUUGUCAAAAUGACACAAAAUUUGACACACACGUGUAUCUCAAUAAAAUCUACGAAAAAGUCAAUGGGCACGUAUCUGUAAAAUGUACGGUUAAAGGGCUAUUUCGCAUUUUUUGCCGAUUCGCACACAUUGGAAUGUGGCUAACUCCUCCUAAGGCUUUCGUCCCACCGGCACCACAUUUGCUCAAGCCGAUCUACAUCCCAUGGCCAUUCAAAGUUGUAGAAAUCAUGACGCUGCUCCCCACGGUUUACGUUCUAGGGGGCGCCAAAGAUGACCCUAAAAUCCACAUAUUUCAAAGUCUUAUAACUUUUUAUUUUUGUCCUCACUGGCCUCCAAGUUUUCUAGGAUGAUGCAAUGUCCAGCCAUCAACACAUUUGUGAAGGAAUUUUUACUCCCCAAAAGAGCGCCCCCCCAUGGCAGGAGAAAAAAGUCAAUUUUUUCUUGUCCCCUAAGGUGAAAAUUCACAUUGUUGAGUGUGACACCUGUACGCUUUGUCAUAUUGACACAAAAUUUGACAAUCACGUGUAUCUCAAUAAGAUCUACGAAAAAGUCAAUGCACGCGUAUCUGUCAAAUGUACGGUUAGAGGGCUAUUUUGCAUUUUUUGCCGAUUCGCACACAUUGGAAUGUGGCUAACUCCUCCUAAGGCUUUCGUUCCACCGGCACCAAAUUUGCUCAGGCCAAUCUACACCCCAUGGCCAUUAAAAGUUGUACAAAUCAUGACGCUGCACCCCACGGUUUAGGUUCUAGGGGGCGCCAAAGAUAACCCAAAAAUCCACAUUCUUAAAAGUCUUAUAACUUUUUAUUUUUGUCCUCACUGGCCUCCAAGUUUUCUAGGAUGAUGCAAUGUCCAGCCAUCAACACAUUUGUAAAGAAAUUUUAACUCUCCAAAAGAGCGCCCCCCCAUGGCAGGAGAAAAAAGUCCAUUUUUUCUUAUCCCGAAAGGUGAAAAUACACGUUGUUGACUGUCACGCCUUUACGCUUUGUCAUAUUGACAAAAAAUUUGACAAUCACAUGUAUCUCAAUAAGAUCUAUGAAAAAGUCAACGGGCACGUAAGUGUAAAAUGUACUGUUAAAGGGCUAUUUUGCAUUUUUUGCCGAUUCGCACACAUUGGAAUUUUGCUAACUCCUCCUAAGGCUUUCGUUCCACCGGCACCACAUUUGCACAGGCCAAUCUACACCCCAUGGCCAUUAAAAGUUGUACAAAUCAUGACGCUGCACCCCACGGUUUAGGUUCUAGGGGGCGCCAAAGAUAACCCAAAAAUCCACAUUCUUAAAAGUCUUAUAACUUUUUAAUUUUGUCCUCACUGGCCUCCAAGUUUUAUAGGAUGAUGCAAUGUCCAGCCAUCAACACAUUUGUGAAGGAAUUUUUACUCCCCAAAAGAGCGCCCCCAUGGCAGGAGAAAAAAGGCAAUUUUUUCUUGUCCCCUAAGGUGAAAAUACACAUUGUUGAGUGUCACACCUAUACGCUUUGUCAUAUUGACACAAAAUUUGACAAUCACGUGUAUCUCAAUCAGAUCUACGAAAAACUCAAUAGGCACGUAUCUGUAAAAUGUACGGUUAAAGGGCUAUUCCGCAUUUUUUGCCGAUCCGCACACAUUGGAAUGUGGCUAACUCCUCCUAGGGCUUUCGUCCCAUUGGCACCAAAUUUGCUAAGGCCAAUCUACACCCCAUGGCCAUUCAAAGUUGUAAAAAUCAUGACGCUGCACCCCACGGUCUACGUUCUAGGGGGCGCCAAAGAUAACCCAAAAAUCCACAUUCUUAAAAGUCUAAUAACCUUUUAUUUUUGUCCUCACUGGCCUCCAAGUUUUCUAGGAUGAUGCAAUGUCCAGCCAUCAACACAUUUGUGAAGGAAUUUUUUCUCCCCAAAAGAGCGCCCCCCUAUGGCAGGAGAAAAAGUCAAGUUUUUCCUGCCCAUCGCUCAAUGGCUCAAACGCAUCGCUCUCCCGGCAAAACCGAAAGGAGGAGCAACUUGCCAUUUGGAUAUAUACUAGCUGUGUUUGUGCCCUCACUCAUGGUCCAGACUAUUUUCAAAAAGGACAUGGAGUUUGUCUGCAGCGAGCGUUUUGGUAGAAACUGCGCCUCCCAUUCAUUAUAAUGGUAAAUGACCACAGACAAGUGCGCACACCUUCUUUGGACCUUGAGUGUGACGCAAUCGGGAGGGGGAGGCGGUCGCGCUGGGGGCGGCGCGACACGGCUCGGGCCCGCCAGUGCCCCACCGGGGCCCUAGUCUUCUUAUUAUUUUUCUGCCCCUUUGAACUGGAAAAUGGCCCACUUCCCACUGGUGAAAAGUCAUGAAAUUUGGCAGGACGACCGGGCCUGGUGAAAAAUUCGAUAUUCUGAAGUCGCCCAAAAAAUCAAAUGCAAAAUGGCUCCAUAGCGCCCCCUAAGGUGAAAAAUUCACAUGAUUGAGUGUCACGCCUGUACGCUUUGUCAAAAUGACACAAAAUUUGACACACACGUGUAUCUCAAUAAGAUCUACAAAAAAGUCAGUGCGGGCGUAUCUGUCAAAUGUACGGUUAAAGGGCUAUUUCGCAUUUUUUGCCGAUCCGCACACAUUGGAAUUUCGCUAACUCCUCCGAAGGCUUUCGUUCCACCGGCACCAAAUUUGCUCAGGCCAAUCUACACCCCAUGGCCAUUAAAAGUUGUACAAAUCAUGACGCUGCAUCCCACGGUUUACGUUCUAGGGGGCGCCAAAGAUAACCCAGAAAUCCACAUUCUUAAAAGUCGUAUAACUUUUUAUUUUUGUCCUCACUGGCCUCCAAGUUUUCUAGGAUGAUGCAAUGUCCAGCCAUCAACACAUUUGUGAAGGAAUUUUUACUCCCCAAAAGAGCGCCCCCCCAUGGCAGGAGAAAAAAGUCCAUUUUUUCUUGUCUCCUAAGGCGAAAAUUCACACUAUUGACUGUCACGCCUUUACGCUUUGUCAUAUUGACACAAAAAUUGACACACACAUGUAUCUCAAUAAGAUCUACAAAAAAGUCAGUGCGGGCGUAUC
rnacentral:lncRNA from 1 species